CGCUGGCGGCAUGCUUUACACAUGCAAGUCGAACGGCAGCACGGGGGCAACCCUGGUGGCGAGUGGCGAACGGGUGAGUAAUAUAUCGGAACGUACCCAGGAGUGGGGGAUAACGUAGCGAAAGUUACGCUAAUACCGCAUACGACCUACGGGUGAAAGUGGGGGACCGCAAGGCCUCAUGCUCAUGGAGCGGCCGAUAUCUGAUUAGCUAGUUGGUGGGGUAAAGGCUCACCAAGGCAACGAUCAGUAGCUGGUCUGAGAGGACGACCAGCCACACUGGAACUGAGACACGGUCCAGACUCCUACGGGAGGCAGCAGUGGGGAAUUUUGGACAAUGGGGGCAACCCUGAUCCAGCAAUGCCGCGUGAGUGAAGAAGGCCUUCGGGUUGUAAAGCUCUUUUGUCAGGGAAGAAACGACCCCUUCUAAUACAGGGGGUUAAUGACGGUACCUGAAGAAUAAGCACCGGCU
rnacentral:rRNA from 1 species